rnacentral:lncRNA from 1 species
GAUGGCUGACCAGUGACAGCUCAAGAAAGGCGCCUUGGAACAAAACGCUCUGCAGGCAGCUUAGGCUUGGUCACCAAGCAAGACAGAGCCAACAAAAUAGCCACCCAGAGAAGCCUCUGCAAAGCCAAAUUGGAUCAUUCUUAGACAAGGACAACCCACUGGAAGAAGCAGAGGCUAGAAGACCUUCCUGGAACUAAGAACACCAGAAAGGACACUCUCCAAACUGCCAGGCUGCCUGCAGGCUAUGCAGUGUGUACCAGGUUUUAUGGCUGUCAUCUAUUCUGCUUUGAUGAUGCAACUGUCAUUGAAACAUUUCUCUUCUGAAGGCUGGCAACUCCUUUGAGGUCUAGGCUGUGCAUACAGAUACAUCUCUGCUGUGAUGCAUAUCAGCCCAGAAGCCCAAGAGGGACUGCAAAACCACUCAAGUCUAAGAACUCGCCCCUGCUCAGCUGUAGCAUGUGUCAGAGGCAGAUGACACCUGAUUUCAUAACAGACUGAAGCAAAGGCAGAGACUGACCCUUGGAAGGUAUCUUCUAAGCCAAACCCUGACAAGAUUGGCCCAGCAACACCUCUCUCCUCACUAACUGGGUUCCUGUCGAAGCAUUUCUCGUUGAAAUGCUUCAGGCAUCACCUUAUAGCCAGUUGUUACUGUUUUCGGACCACAAAAUAAACAUCCCAAGAAUUCUUCAGUA